rnacentral:rRNA from 1 species
ACGUAGGGGGCGAGCGUUAUCCGGAUUUAUUGGGCGUAAAGCGUGUGUAGGCGGUUUGUUAAGUUUAAGAUUAAAGCCCGGGGCUCAACUCCGGUAAGUCUUAAAAACUGGCAGACUUGAGUACGGUAGAGGCAAACGGAAUUUCUAGUGUAGCGGUGAAAUGCGUAGAUAUUAGAAGGAACACCAGUGGCGAAAGCGGUUUGCUGGGCCGUUACUGACGCUGAGGCACGAAAGCGUGGGGAGCAAAUAG